rfam:Picea glauca, whole genome shotgun sequence.
UCUUAUGUACAUGCCUACAACGUUAAUGCAUCAGAUCCCAUCAAAAAUCUGUAGUUAAGCGUGCUUGGGUUAGAGUAGUACUGGGAUGGGUGACCUCCAGAGACAUCUUAGCGUUUUACAUGCC